rnacentral:rRNA from 1 species
UACGAAGGGGGCUAGCGUUGCUCGGAAUUACUGGGCGAAAAGCGCACGUAGGCGGACCUGCAAGUCGGGGGUGAAAGCCCGAGGCUCAACCUCGGAACUGCCUUCGAUACUGCGGGUCUCGAGUCCGGGAGAGGUGAGUGGAAUUCCUAGUGUAGAGGUGAAAUUCGUAGAUAUUAGGAAGAACACCAGUGGCGAAGGCGGCUCACUGGCCCGGUACUGACGCUGAGGCGCGAAAGCGUGGGGAGCAAACAGG